rnacentral:SRP_RNA from 1 species
GCUGGGUGUGGUGGCACAUGCCUGUAAUCCCAGCUACUUGGGAGGCUGAGGCGCGAGAAUCACUUGAACCUGGGAGGUGGAGGUUGCAGGGAGCCGAGAUCGUGCCACUGCACUCCAGCCCGGGUGACAGAGUGAGACUGUGCCUCAA